rnacentral:tRNA from 2 species
GGCGACGUGGCCGAGUGGCUAGGCAAGGGUCUGCAAAACCCUGUACGCGGGUUCGAAUCCCGCCGUCGCCUCCA